rnacentral:ncRNA from 2 species
AGCGAAGACUAGGGGUGCCUUAUGGCUGAGAAAAAGGUUAGACUUUUACCCUUGUACCUGAUCUGGGUUGUGCCAGCGUAGGAAAGUCGUUGAUUCUAACU